rnacentral:rRNA from 1 species
GACAAAUGCCCUGCUUCCAGGAAAAGCCUCUAAGCAUCAGGUAACAUCAAAUCGUACCCCAAACCGACACAGGUGGUCAGGUAGAGAAUACCAAGGCGCUUGAGAGAACUCGGGUGAAGGAACUAGGCAAAAUGGUGCCGUAACUUCGGGAGAAGGCACGCUGAUAUGUAGGUGAAGCGACUUGCUCGUGGAGCUGAAAUCAGUCGAAGAUACCAGCUGGCUGCAACUGUUUAUUAAAAACACAGCACUGUGCAAACACGAAAGUGGACGUAUACGGUGUGACGCCUGCCCGGUGCCGGAAGGUUAAUUGAUGGGGUUAGCGGUAACGCGAAGCUCUUGAUCGAAGCCCCGGUAAACGGCGGCCGUAACUAUAACGGUCCUAAGGUAGCGAAAUUCCUUGUCGGGUAAGUUCCGACCUGCACGAAUGGCGUAAUGAUGGCCAGGCUGUCUCCACCCGAGACUCAGUGAAAUUGAACUCGCUGUGAAGAUGCAGUGUACCCGCGGCAAGACGGAAAGACCCCGUGAACCUUUACUAUAGCUUGACACUGAACAUUGAGCCUUGAUGUGUAGGAUAGGUGGGAGGCUUUGAAGUGUGGACGCCAGUCUGCAUGGAGCCGACCUUGAAAUACCACCCUUUAAUGUUUGAUGUUCUAACGUUGGCCCGUAAUCCGGGUUGCGGACAGUGUCUGGUGGGUAGUUUGACUGGGGCGGUCUCCUCCUAAAGAGUAACGGAGGAGCACGAAGGUUGGCUAAUCCUGGUCGGACAUCAGGAGGUUAGUGCAAUGGCAUAAGCCAGCUUGACUGCGAGCGUGACGGCGCGAGCAGGUGCGAAAGCAGGUCAUAGUGAUCCGGUGGUUCUGAAUGGAAGGGCCAUCGCUCAACGGAUAAAAGGUACUCCGGGGAUAACAGGCUGAUACCGCCCAAGAGUUCAUAUCGACGGCGGUGUUUGGCACCUCGAUGUCGGCUCAUCACAUCCUGGGGCUGAAGUAGGUCCCAAGGGUAUGGCUGUUCGCCAUUUAAAGUGGUACGCGAGCUGGGUUUAGAACGUCGUGAGACAGUUCGGUCCCUAUCUGCCGUGGGCGCUGGAGAACUGAGGGGGGCUGCUCCUAGUACGAGAGGACCGGAGUGGACGCAUCACUGGUGUUCGGGUUGUCAUGCCAAUGGCACUGCCCGGUAGCUAAAUGCGGAAGAGAUAAGUGCUGAAAGCAUCUAAGCACGAAACUUGCCCCGAGAUGAGUUCUCCCUGACUCCUUGAGAGUCCUGAAGGAACGUUGAAGACGACGACGUUGAUAGGCCGGGUGUGUAAGCGCAGCGAUGCGUUGAGCUAACCGGUACUAAUGAACCGUGAGGCUUAACCUUACAACGCCGAAG